rnacentral:lncRNA from 1 species
UAAUGUUUACAUAUAAAUUACUUAUAUAUUGCUUAAUUGUUUGCAUGUUUAUGUCGUAGUUAUGAGUUUUAGAGGUUAUGUAGAAUUUGCACCCAAGUGUUUAAUGAAAUGUUUGAAUGAGUUUUUCAUUGAUUGUUUAUUUUCUUAUGGUGUAGAUCUUAAACAAUGGCCAAUUUGUUCAACACUCAAGUACGCUUCAAUGGUGGAAAUCCUCGGUUGUUCAAGGUUGGGUACAUUAAUGUCACCUUAAAGGACUCAAUAAAUUAAACAAAUUACUCUAAAGGACUCUAAACUCAAUAAAAUAAUUAAAUAAAUAAAAUAGGGCGUUACACACUUCAAUGCUGCAUUUUCGUCAAACUUUCAAGAAUAUAAUUUAAACUCAAC